AGUGAACGCUGGCGGCAGGCCUAACACAUGCAAGUCGAACGGCAGCACGAGGGAGCUUGCUCCCUUGGUGGCGAGUGGCGGACGGGUGAGGAAUACAUCGGAAUCUGCCCAGUCGUGGGGGAUAACCUCGGGAACCCGGGACUAAUACCGCAUACGACCUUCGGGGGAAAGCAGGGGAUCGCAAGAACUUGCGCGAUUGGAUGAGCCGAGGUCGGAUUAGCUAGUUGGAGGGGUAACGGCCCACCAAGGCGACGAUCCGUAGCUGGUCUGAGAGGAUGAUCAGCCACACUGGGACUGAGACACGGCCCAGACUCCUACGGGAGGCAGCAGUGGGGAAUAUUGGACAAUGGGGGCAACCCUGAUCCAGCAAUGCCGCGUGAGUGAAGAAGGCCUUCGGGUUGUAAAGCUCUUUUGUCAGGGAAGAAACAGCAGCUCUAACACAGUUUGCGAGUGACGGUACCUGCAGAAAAAGCACCGGCUAACUACGUGCCAGCCGCCGCGGUAA
rnacentral:rRNA from 1 species